GAUGAACGCUGGCGGCGUGCCUAAUACAUGCAAGUCGAGCGAACGGACGAGAAGCUUGCUUCUCUGAUGUUAGCGGCGGACGGGUGAGUAACACGUGGAUAACCUACCUAUAAGACUGGGAUAACUUCGGGAAACCGGAGCUAAUACCGGAUGAUAUUUUGAACCGCAUGGUUCAAAAGUGAAAGACGGUCUUGCUGUCACUUAUAGAUGGAUCCGCGCUGCAUUAGCUAGUUGGUAAGGUAACGGCUUACCAAGGCAACGAUGCAUAGCCGACCUGAGAGGGGGACGGGCCCACCGGGAACUGAGCAACGGUCCCAACCCCAACGGGGGGCAGCAGUGGGGAAUUUUCCCCAAGGGGCGAAAGCCUGACGGAGCAACCCCGCGGGGGGGAUGAAGGUCUUCGGAUCGUAAAACCCUUUUAUUAGGGAAAAACAUAUGUGUAAGUAACUGUGCACAUCUGGACGGUACCAAAGCAAAAAGCCACGGCUAACUACGG
rnacentral:rRNA from 1 species